CCUACGGGUGGCAGCAGUGAGGAAUAUUGGUCAAUGGACGAGAGUCUGAACCAGCCAAGUAGCGUGAAGGAUGACUGCCCUCUGGGUUGUAAACUUCUUUUAUAAAGGUAUAAAACGAGGCACGUGUGCCUUUUUGCAUGUACUUUAUGAAUAAGGAUCGGCUAACUCCGUCCCAGCAGCCGCGGUAAUACGGAGGAUCCGAGCGUUAUCCGGAUUUAUUGGGUUUAAAGGGUGCGUAGAUGGGUUGUUAAGUCCGUUGUGAAAGUUUGCGGCUCAACCGUAAAAGUGCAAUGGAUACUGGCAGUCGUGAGUACAGUUGAGGUAGGCGGAAUUCGUGGUGUAGCGGUGAAAUGCUUAGAUAUCACGAAGAACACCGAUUGCGAAGGCAGCUUACUAAGCUGUGACUGACAUUGAUGCUCGAAAGUGUGGGUAGCAAACAGGAUUAGAUACCCGAGUAGUC
rnacentral:rRNA from 1 species